UACAGAGGGUGCAAGCGUUGUUCGGAAUUAUUGGGCGUAAAGGGCGCGUAGGCGGUUCGGCAAGUCUCUAGUGAAAUCUCAGGGCUCAACUCUGAGUCUGCUGGGGAAACUGCCGGGCUUGAGUGUGGGAGAGGAGAGUGGAAUUCCCGGUGUAGAGGUGAAAUUCGUAGAUAUUCGGAAGAACACCAGUGGCGAAGGCGGCUCACUGGACAUGUAUUGACGCUGAGGUGCGAAAGCGUGGGGAGCAAACAGG
rnacentral:rRNA from 1 species